GUAUACUCAUAUCGUUCAAAAAAAAAAGCAUACUCAUAUAUCAACAAAAACUCUUGUUAUCUUAAUUUCUAAAUCACAAUUCCAAAUUUACAAUAUUUAUAAACAAAAUGACAACUUUCCAAAAAUAGCAGGUUUUGGAAAAUUUAUUUAAAAAUUAUAACCUAUUGAUCAAAAAUUCUAAAACAAUACCUAUCUAUAACAAAAAAAAAAAGGUUGUUAUCCUAGUUUCUAAAUCACAAUCCCAAAUCUAAUUAUUUCUCUACAAAAAUGAUAACUUUCCAAAAAAUAGCAGUUCUAAGAAAUUUUAUUAAUAAAAUAAAACCUAUUGAUCAAAAAUUACAAAAGCAUACCCAUCUAUCAAUAAAAAAAAAUUUGUUACCCUAAUUUCUAAAUCACAAUCCCAAAUCUAUAAUAUUUCUCUACAAAAAUGAUAAUUUUCCAAAAAUGGCAGGUUUUUAUUUAAAAAUGAUAACCUAUUGAUAAAAAAUUAUAAAACCAUACUCAUCUAUUCACAAAAACUCUUGCUAUCCUAAUUUCUAAAUCACAAUCUAAAAUCUACAAUUUUUCCCUAGAAAUAUGAUAACUUUAAAAAAAUAGUAGGUUUUGGAAUAUUUAUUUAAACAUUACAUCUUAUUGAUAAAAACAAUUAUAAAACCAUACACAUCUAUCAACAAAAACUCUUGUUAUCCUAAUUUCUAAAUCACUAUCCAAAAUCUACAAUUUUUCUAUAGAAAAAUGAUAACUUUCCCAAAAUAGUAGGUUUUGGAAAAUUUAUUUAAACAUUAUAACUGAUUCAUCAAAAAUUCUAAAAGUAUACCUUUCUAUCAACAAAAACUCAUUUUAUCCUAAUUUCAAAAUCACAAUCCCAAAUCUACAAUAUUUAUCAACAAAAUGAUAACUUUCCAAAAAUAGCAGGUUUUGGAAAAUUUAUUUAAAAAUUAUAACCUUUCGAUCAAAAAUUUUUAAAUCAUACCCAUCUAUAACCAAAAACUCUUGUUAUCCUAAUUUCUAAAUCACAAUCUCAAGUAUACAAUAUUUCUCUACGAAAAUGAUAACUUUCAAAAAAUAGCAGUUCUUAUAAAUUUUAUUUAUAAAAUAUAACCUAUGACCAAAAAUUACAAAAACAUACCCAUCUAUCAACAAAAAAUCUUGUUAUCCAAAUUUCUAAAUCACAAUCCCAAAUCUAUAAUAUUUCUGUUACAAAAAUGAUAAUUUUCCAAAAAUAGGAGGUUUUGGAAAAUUUAUUUAAAAAUUAUAACCUAUUGAUCAAAAAUUCUAAAACCAUACCCAUCU
rnacentral:lncRNA from 1 species